rnacentral:lncRNA from 1 species
CUUUUCUUGACCUUGUUUUUGAAGUUGUCCUUAUUUGAUUUUCAUUCUGGAGGUCAGGACAAAUAUGAUUUUAAGUAACCAUGUCUCUUGCAAUGAAAUCAGUUCUUCUUUCUUCUUCUUAAAGCUUGAACCUCUGUAAGGGAAAAUGCCUUUUCUCUGAACUCUGUCCCUCUCCUUCCAUAGAUGUUUAACUCUCCUUGUAAGGAAAGCCAUCUCAUCAUCGUCAUCCGCAAAUUCCUAUAGAGCUUCUUCUUCAACCUGAAGAGCUUUCACCAUUUUACCUUUAGAUUUAAUCGCUGUUGAUUUGAAUUUUGGUUUAGGGUCAUCAUGGUUUAAGCGCUUUCACCAUUUUUAUGACACAGUUAGAGUAUACGUCAAAGACCUAGCUCUGAUGCAAACAGAAGAUGAGAAAAACACAAUAGGGGGUGUUUAAUUAUGUUGGUCACUUUUUGAAUCUCUUUUUGUAAAAGUGGAUAAUAGAAAAUAGACAACAAAUAGGAGAGGAAAGUAAAAAAACAAGGGAGAGAGAGAGGGAGAGAGGGAGAGAGAGAGAGAUGACACGAUAAAUUUAUCUUGGUUCAAUCCAUAAUUCGGAGUUACUCCAUUCCCCUUGCACUUCAAAGCGAUUUCACUAUAAUCAACUAAUUAGAACAAAAAAAAUUAAGACAACCUAGUCUUAUAUUUCCCUGCAUCAACCUAGAAGAAUUCCUAAUCUCAGUCUAGAGAUUACAACAACAAGUUGUUUACAAAUUUACAAGCAACCCAAAGCAUUGAAUGUUGAACCAAAGUGGGUUUUACAUCAAUGUCUUUAAGAUUUUGAUGAUAACAAUUUAUGAAAGAACAAUUGGGUACUCUAAUGUGUGUUCAAUUGUGCAAGACCAUACAAUUAAAUUUUGAAGACUUAGAAGAUGGUCUGAAGAAAGGUCAAUAAAAAGUAAAAGCUUUGAUUAGAAGUAGCCUCAAGCCGUGAAGACUAUGAAGAAAACAAGCUCCGAUAUAAACAUAAUCUAAUGAAAGCAAGUUUGCAUGGACAUGUCAGUAGUCUAGUAGACUCUAAUCAAUUUUGUCGUCUUCUGAAGCAACGUCACAUUCAAUUUCUAAUCGCAUUGUUCGUCUUCUUCUGACCACGUGCAGAAAUAAACAAAGAAUUUCAAAGUCAAAGAGAAUUCAACUGAUCAUUCCAAAAGAAGUAAAAGAUCCCUCUAGUAAUAUUCAACAGAAUUAUCCUUAAAGGCAAAGUAUUCAAACACUGAUCAAAGCUUCGCAAGGAAAAAUUUAUGUGUUGGCACCUCUUCAAACAAUUACUCUUUUAUUCUCUCCUAUUUAAGGACCUGAGCAGUUAGAAGAACAAAAAUGAACAUCAUGUAAUUUUACAAGUUCCAAAACCCUGUAAAAUUAUGUAGCGCACAAACACUUAAAUAAAUACUUACAAACUUUCAUAUCUUAUAAUUUCUUAAGUAUCAGAAGUCAUGUAAGCUUAUAGUUUGUUUACCAUCCUCUUAGUACAAAUUUCAAACAAUCAAACUUUAUUUGUAAACUCUGAUUGUAGAAGUCCUCUUAUGUGAGGCAAGGAAAUUUUAGACUUGUGUGUCUAAGUAAUUGUAAUGAUGUGUGAUUUUAGUGAAAAAUCUCUUGAAAGUUCAAGGGGACUAAACUAACAUCGAAUAAUGGGGGAAUCUAGAUAAUUGCUUAUGUUGUCUCUCUCUGAUUAUCUUGCUUGCUCUGUUUUAUUUAAACUCUUGGAACUUUUUUUCCAGGAAAAGCCAACAUAUUCAACCUCUCCUUCUUUUGUUUUUUUCACCUUCAGUUAGUACCUGAGCUCCUGGUAUGUUGGUUCAACACUUAACCGUGUAACAAAUAUAAGAUCCUGAGUAAAACAUGUAUGUCGAUUCAACACUUAACCGUGUAACAAAUAUAAGAUCAUGAGUAAAACGUGCCUAAGCCCACUGCCACUUCCCGUUCCAAUCAUGUUGUGUCUCAUAAAUAAUUAAUAAAAAAAAUUAAUAACAUCAUAUCCUAAAAAUUGGGUCGUUAC